rnacentral:lncRNA from 1 species
GUUGGUGGUGCUUUUAAGUUUCUAAUUUUUAGAUCCACCUCUUGACUAUUAGUAGUCUCUAGAUCAAAUAUUAUUUCACCUAUCAUCACUCAACCCAAGUAGAUAACUAUUAUUAUAGUUCUAGUCCUACAACAUCUCUAUUCAAAAACUAUAAAUCUAAAAGUACAAAUGAAUUGGCGCUUUUAGAAGUAUUCUAGUUCAACUCGAGAGAGACACACCGUUUGUGGAUUCCAAUUGAGUGGACUUAAUUA